UACGAGGGGUGCAAGCGUUGUUCGGAAUCACUGGGCGUAAAGGGAGUGUAGGUGGAUCUUUAAGUCAGAUGUUUAAUUCCAAGGCCUAACCUUGGGUUUGCGUUUGAAACUGGGGAUCUUGAAUAAGUCAGAGGUAAGCAGAAUUCCUGGUGUAGCGGUGGAAUGCGUAGAUAUCAGGAGGAAUACCAAUUGCGAAGGCAGCUUACUGGGGCUAUAUUGACACUGAGGCUCGAAAGUGUGGGUAGCGAACAGG
rnacentral:rRNA from 1 species